UACGAAGGGGGCUAGCGUUGCUCGGGAUCACUGGGCGUAAAGGGCGCGUAGGCGGCCAUUCAAGUCGGGGGUGAAAGCCUGUGGCUCAACCACAGAAUUGCCUUCGAUACUGUUUGGCUUGAGUAUGGUAGAGGUUGGUGGAACUGCGAGUGUAGAGGUGAAAUUCGUAGAUAUUCGCAAGAACACCGGUGGCGAAGGCGGCCAACUGGACCAUUACUGACGCUGAGGCGCGAAAGCGUGGGGAGCAAACAGG
rnacentral:rRNA from 1 species